rnacentral:rRNA from 1 species
UACGUAGGUGGCAAGCGUUGUCCGGAUUUACUGGGCGUAAAGAGCGCGCAGGCGGUCGUACAAGUCGCGUGUGAAAGCCCCCGGCUCAACUGGGGAGGGUCACGCGAUACUGUUCGACUCGAAGGCAGGAGAGGGAAGCAGAAUUCCCGGUGUAGUGGUGAAAUGCGCAGAUAUCAGGAAGAACACCAUGGCGAAGACAGCUCUCUGGGACGGUACUGACGCUGAGACGCGAAAGCGUGGGGAGCGAACAGG